CUUGGUAUUGGUGUUUGCCUGUUUUGCCAUGCUAGAGUUCAGGAUCUAGUGCUGCUUUGAUGAAAUGGGGCUUGCUGCUGUCUUGAAUCAGAUGCUCAACUUGGACAAAGGCUGUCCUGGUUUAUGCCUCUAUGUGAAUAGACAUGAUACUACUCAGAAAUUAAAAUGUUCACAGUGCAAGAUCUUCGUUUCCCUAAAGGAAAGACUGAAGAAAUGAAUGAAGACAAGGUCUGUAUAAAGAGCUGAAACUAUGCCAAGAGGAAAUUGUGCUUUCCAAAGAAGUCCUCUGUGAUGGGAAAAACACAAAAUACCAGCUAAAUAAAUCAAAGUCCUAUUUCAAUGAGCCCAUCUGAACAAAAACUACAUGGGCCUUGAUUCAUUACCUAGGAAAGAUGAGCCGACUCCAUGGGGGUUUUUUCAAGGAUUUCAAACCUGAUUUAAAGGCUGACUGUUAUAUCUGAUUAUUAAUGUGUCUUGAUCAAGGAGAGAGUUAAAAGCAACUCUCUAUUUCCCUUAUCUUCUUUUCAGAAUAAAUAAAACAAUAUGUGCUCAAA